GAGAUCUUAGCUUAACGGUAAAGCGUGUGACUUUUAAUCACUCUCAUAAGGGUUCAAAUCCCUUAGAUCUUA
rfam:Phaeosphaeria nodorum SN15 mitochondrion, complete genome.